AGAAAGAUAAGCUAAUCUAAGCUAAUGGGUUCAUAACCCAUAUAUAGAGGUCCUGAUCCUCUUCUUUCUA
rnacentral:tRNA from 2 species